rnacentral:rRNA from 1 species
UACGUAGGGGGCAAGCGUUGUCCGGAAUCAUUGGGCGUGAAGAGCGUGUAGGCGGCCCGGUAAGUCCGCUGUGAAAGUCGGGGGCUCAACCCUCGAAUGCCGGUGGAUACUGUCGGGCUAGAGUGCGGAAGAGGCGAGUGGAAUUCCUGGUGUAGCGGUGAAAUGCGCAGAUAUCAGGAGGAACACCAAUUGCGAAGGCAGCUCGCUGGGACGUAACUGACGCUGAGACGCGAAAGCGUGGGGAGCAAACAGG